GUUCGCACAUCGAACUGAGCACCCAUUUUAAUCAUAAUUAGACACUUUAGGGAAUUUAUAUUGCAAUUUUUAUUAUUAAAUUUAGUAAAAUUUCGCUUUCUUUGGAACGCUCCAGUUGUCCUCGUAAUUGGCGCAUGCAGCAGGACAGUUGGAGUCAGUGUUCGCCGCAGUCGGUAUCCAGCUGCGACAGUCGCUGCUCCUAUUCGUGGCCACUGAUUGAGCUGUCAAGCUUUCAAGUGUCCUGACUUUGGGAGACGAAGCCAAAGAUCCAAGCGUAGAUACAACCCGAGAACAAACGAGAUGCUGCUCAUAAUGGAACCUCAACACCGAGCUGGAACCAGAUGACAGUAUGAACUACUCAAACGCCGUACUCUCCGAGGAUAUAGCACGGAAUAUGACGGAGACGAAGCAGGCGGAGGAUGCCGAACGCGUCAUGGACACGCUGUUCAUAGACAACUGCGAUCACAAACGACUCAAAGUUAUUCGCAACGAAGCAGACGUUACUGGACCAUUGCAAAGUACAUUUCGACGUGUGCACUGAAACGACGCUCAAGAAAUGCCCCCAAGGAACAUCCAUGGACGAGUUCGUUUGACCACCAAUAUUUCUCACGAGAGACUUUGUACAAGUCGUCUGCAUGGGUACCUCUGUCUCACCCGUGUUCCCGCCGUGAAGCAGCUGUGCUCGCAUGGCUGUGUUUCGACUCGAAGAAUGGGAUAUGGCAGCGAGAUCACAGGACUCAGAGGCACAACACCAUAAUCCUCGAGGGGGGAAGGGAUUGCUAGUAAUGCGGACUAUCAGCCCCAUUGCUAGCAAUAUACUCUAACAGGUCGACCUCCACGCGGUACCCCCUGGAAACCAUCGUGAUCAAUCAUUGUUCAAUUGGUCACGAUGGGCCAACUGGCCUGUGCCCAUGGCGUCCCGCCGGCGUACACCGCUAGUGCGCGCUGGGCUGCCAUGGACACCACCACGCCAUUAUUCGUGGUGGAUAUAAAAUAAUCUAAUAGGAGUGGUUUAAGUAUAUCAUUUUAAUAUAGUUUUUUUUUCUUUCAUUUUAUUUCGUUUUUAGCGUAAGGCAUUAGUAAGUUUCCCACUUGCCCGCGGGGGCUGGUGGGCCGGUGGGCUGGUUUCCUAUGCAGAGGAUCCAGGUAGAUGAUAUGUCGAGUAAAACUAUCCAUUUAAAAUUUUUUUUUUCUUUUCUUUAGUUUAACUUUAGCGUAAGGAAGUGUGACGCCUAAUUCGUGCAGCUUCCGACUUGUCCCCGGGGGCUGCUGCUAAUUACGAUGUCCGGAAAUACAUAAUAGUGAUAUAUUGUGAUUUUUUAUUAUAAACAUCAUAUGGAACGCGUGCAGUGACAUUUUUGAUACACUGUAAUAGCUUUUAUACAACUUUCUAAUUCUUGUUAGAACAAACAUUUGUUAGUUUAAGCACUUUUUUUUUUUAGUUUAAUCGCAUGUUAGAUUAAGAAUUAAGAAUUAUGCAUGUUAGAUAAAGAUUAAGAAUUUUUUAGCUUAAGAAGCCAAUGUCUGCAAAACCUUUGUUAUUUUAUGCAACUUUCAGCUUAGUAGAUAACGGAAGUCUAUUAAUUUUAAGUGACUUUCAUUAGUAAUUCCUUUUCUUUAAUUUUUCUAAAUAAAUAGUUUUUAUUUAUA